rnacentral:tRNA from 1 species
CGUGGGAUCGAUAAAUGGACUCGCAGUUGGAUUAUUCGGGAUGAAUCCACUGAUUAUGACUCUUGGUAUGAACGCCGUUCUAAUCGGUGUUUUCACGG